GGUAACUGAAAUUAGCAAAGAAUCACCCCACACAAAGAUGGCGCGUGCAGAAUUUGUGAAAGCGAAAAAGAAGACGAAGGAGAAGCAAAAGAGGGACGGAACACGGCGGUGCUGGGGUGCAGCUGGAGUCCAGAAAUGAUUUUUUUUCGAUGAACUUAGGAUUUUGCCGCAGUAUACAUCUGCAGUCCCAGAAUCCUCCGAAUUACUAGCAAAGAUACAAAUGAGGAAGUAACCCUAGACAACGGAUCUC